rnacentral:rRNA from 1 species
GUGGGGAAUCUUGCGCAAUGGGCGAAAGCCUGACGCAGCCAUGCCGCGUGAAUGAUGAAGGUCUUAGGAUUGUAAAAUUCUUUCACCGGGGACGAUAAUGACGGUACCCGGAGAAGAAGCCCCGGCUAACUUCGUGCCAGCAGCCGCGGUAAUACGAAGGGGGCUAGCGUUGCUCGGAAUUACUGGGCGUAAAGGGCGCGUAGGCGGACAGUUUAGUCAGAGGUGAAAGCCCAGGGCUCAACCUUGGAAUUGCCUUUGAUACUGGCUGUCUUGAGUACGGGAGAGGUGAGUGGAACUCCGAGUGUAGAGGUGAAAUUCGUAGAUAUUCGGAAGAACACCAGUGGCGAAGGCGACUCACUGGCCCGUUACUGACGCUGAGGCGCGAAAGCGUGGGGAGCAAACAGGAUUAGAUACUCUUGUAGUCC